AAAGAGCUGAAUAUAAUGACGAUGCUUCGCUCAUCUUCCAGCUCCCCUUUACAUCGGAAUAUUUAUGCAAGAAUGUGCUUAGAUAAGUAACUUGUGCUGUUUAUAGUAAGAAGUCCAGCUACCCUGAAGCAACCAUUCUAAAGAGACCAUUUUGAGACUGUACCUAAGAGAAAGAUGCCUAAGGAGGGGCUCUUCUAGACGCCUGUUGUUUGAGCUCUCUAAUUAUCAACCUACCAACAUCAAUAGAAGAGACAGACCAUUCUUACAAAACUGGGACUGGUUAACCAUCAUCCCUCCUAUUUUAACGCAAGACCUGGUGGGCGGUUGUCUCCCGUAUGAAAGUUACUGAGCAGACGUGCUGGACUCUGCCAAGACAGAGAGAGAGGGACUGGGAACAGAUGACAAAGGAGUCCCAGCCUACUCCCGAGUGAUGGUCCUUAUAACCAGGAACCCAAAGGUGCUCUUUCCUGCCCUGUCUGAAUGAAUUGGAUCUGCUGGGACGGGACAAAGCAAAGCUGGGCUGCGACUCAGAUCGCAACCCACCUGAAUUUUGGCUGCAAGACAGAGCAAACUUCUCAAGAAGCCAAGGUCAGUGUAUUUACCAUCCACUCACUUCUCUUUUCUAGCUCAGG